AAACUUUAUUUAUAUUUCACGUUGCUCCACCGAAGUUUUUUUUUUUUAAGAAUCGGGGCAAAAUGAAUGCAAUAUUGAAUAUCAAUUCAUUAAUGGUUGGACGCAUCAGUGCGUUUGUGUUUGUUUUGGCGAUUGUUGAAAUCACCGCUAAAAGUAUUGUUAUUAAUAACAGUACCGUUAAUAACAUAAUCAGCAGGGACAAGCCGUUAAAUGGGACACAGAGAAGUACUUUGUUGGACCAACUCUAUAAAGAGACCAUGCUCCGGUUCCAGAUAGAGAAAAAAAUGCAAAUUCUCACGGAUAAGGUAUCAAAACUCGAAGAAAAGGCAAAAUAUAACAUUAAUGGUAAAGAAAAAGGCUUCUAUGCCUACGUAUCACGUGACUUGAACAAUCCUGGAGGUGGUCAUACAAUUGUGUUUGACGUUGAGAUGACAAAUUUCAAAAACGGAUACAACAAACAUACCGGUGUUUUUUACGGUUCCUGUCGAUGGUCUCUAUUCAUUAACAUGGGUGACAAGAGUUGAAUGCAGUAAAUCGUACACAAGUCAACUUCAUGUCAACAAAAGAAUCGUGGGCUCUACAUUCGCUUAUUGUGGAUACAAUACGGUCACCGGAAAUGCUAUUGUUAAUCUGCGUAAAGGUGAUGCUGUUUUUGUGCGUACCCUUGCCGGAAGUGGACAGAUCAGAAGUAAUGAGUUCGGUCGUACUUCGUUUUCAGGAUUUCUUGUCAAUUGAUAUAAUUUAACUGUUUAAUAAAUUCACCAGAAAUGU
rnacentral:misc_RNA from 1 species